CUAACUAUAGAGGGAAUAAUAACAAACAUACAAACACCACACACAUGCCAGAAUAAUAGCAGCGGGUUGCUCUUGCUCACAAUACCACAUGGGAAAAUCAUCGAUGGGCGAAGAGAGUGAGAGAGAGAGAGACAGAGAGAGAAAGCGAGCGCAUGUAGGUAUGUACAAAAGUAAAAAGAGGCUUGAUGGAGCGCAUUGUUGGGGCGGCAUGCACAAAUCUUUGUGUGCCUUUUUGUAUAUAUGUAUGUAUGAAGGUGGGCCCGCAAGUCAACACCAGCUGCUUACCCAUACACACAGAGUUGGAAUUAGUUAUGAAUUUGUAAAUUUUUGGAGACUUGGAUUUUUUUUUAAUAAAAAGGACUUUGAUUCUAGCGCCAAUGACGACAUACAGUCUCUAAAUUUUUCAAUCGAAUUGGAUUGGAUCCUUGGUUCGGGAGAGUCCAUAUUGAGUUUCGUUUGUUCGAGAUGGCAUUCGAUAUGACAGUUGCAGUUGGUGCUAACAAACUUCUUCACACAAUACCGGACAUGAACCAACUUAGGGGCGUGGUUGCAAAUGCAAAUUAACAUUCCACCUAAGGAACAGGAGCAAACUUGUCACAUAUAAAUGAGUGCGGUCCUUAAACUUGAGCCUUAAGCCGAGACCGAACGGAGUGCCGCUGUGCGAAACAUAUUUGUACAAAUGUUGUUAUCAUUAGGAGGAGAAAACCACCGCUGAACAUUUUUUCUGUUGGUCUUGCCAGGAUUCCAGGAUAUGAUAACUUCUACGCUUCGAUGGUCCUUUUUUUCGAGGUUCCUUGCUAGUAAUUAGAGCGCACAAGCUGACUACUGGCUUAGGUGUAUGUCCAUAGUGGCAUGGAGUGGAUAACCGAACUCUCUUUUCAACAAUAACAAGGUAAAAGUUUUACUUAUCGCAGAUGUCAUCAACGUGAACCCAUUAUCGUACAAUUGUCCGCCUAUCGACGCUGUUUGCAAGUUGUGUAAUAGAGGAUGAGGUAGAGGUUAAAAAGUCCCAGAAAGUUCCCUGUAUAAAUCUAUGGGCUGUUGACUACUCCACCCCUUAAAUGCCCAUACAUAUGAUUGGCGAACACCAAACUAGUUUGUAAUCCAAUCAUUCAAGACCAACUAAGGUGAUGGCGAUAUUUGCAAAAAGCAUGGCGAAAACUUCUGAUAGAUAGAUCAAAAGCCACGAGGCUGCGUUAUCUAAAUAGCAGAGUAUAUCUGGCUCAAAUACGUUGCGAGAUGCAAACGCCCUUAUUUCUACUAAAAUUGAUGUCAACGUUUUACAUACAAAUGUAUCCCGCCUGUAACUAAAGGGUGUUUUUUAGCUAUUAUCUUUUGGCAACACUGGCUUAAACCGCGCACGCACGUUUCGUGCUUUGUUUCACUGUCAAACAUCUUCAAUUUGAUCUAUAAUUUAGCCAUGAAUCGUCUUACAAACUAAAAACGCUUGCAAAUUUAUUGAAUUUUAUAAUCAAAAGGCUUGCUCUGUUAAGAAAAUUCAUCGCGCGCUGUGUGUGUGUUCAGCGACGAAGCUUUUUUUUGGCUCAAUGGGUACGUAAAUAACCAGAACUGUUGAUUUUGGAGUGAAGAUCAACUAGAAGCAUUGCAAGAGCUACCAAUGCAUCCACAAAAAGUUACAGUUUGGUGUCGUUUAUGGGCUGGUGGUAUCAUUGGACUGUACUUCUUUAAGGAUUCGUUAGAUGCGAAUCGUAACGCAAAUGUGAAUGGUGAGCGCUACCGUUUUUUUUUUUUUGCCCAAAAUGCAAGAACUUGACUUGCAUGGCAUGUUGUUUCAACAAGACGGUGCCACAAGCCACACAGCACCCGUAACAAUGGACUUAUUGAGAGGCGAGUUCGGUGAAUAUUUUAUUUCACCUUCGGUAUUGGCCGCCUAGAUCGUGCGAUUUAACGCCUCUAGACUAUAUUUUGUGGGGCUUCAAUGGAAAGGGAGAAGCCCGCGACAGUUGACGCAUUGGAAGACAACAUUGAAGCAUUUAUUCGUGAGUUAGUUAAAAAGAGUAUACCAAAAUUGGACUAAGCGGAUAGACCAUUUGAGGAGCAAUCACGGUCACUAUUUGCAUGAAAUAAUUUUCAAACAUUACAUUUUGUGGACCGUA